ACUCUAUUUAUGUCACGAUCCGAAUUUUCCCACCAUCGAGAGUCGUGAUGGCGCCUGCUGUCGAAGCUAGGCAAGCUAACCUCUAUAAUCAUUUUUACAAAUUUAAAUGUAGAACAAGAUAAAUGCUAAAAUAAUUAAUUAAAACAUAGAAGUCUUUUAACAUUAAUAUCGAAAACAAAAUGCGAAAACUAACAACAUGUCUCUACCCAGUAUCUGGUGUCACUACUCACGGACGACUAAGAGUACUAAAGCAAUAGUCUGAAAGAAAUAUACCAUAUGUCUGUUUUGAUGCAAUAAAAACAAACUAGAAAAUAUAGAAGAGACUCGGGGCCCGCGAACGCCAGCGAACUACCGCAGAAUCUCUGGACUGAAGGAUCACCCACUAACUACUGUGUCCUGACCUGUGCACAAAAAGGCAAAGAAGUGUAGUAUCAGCACAACCGACCCCAUGUGCUGGUAAGUGCCUGGCCUAACCCCGCCAAAGUAGUGAUGAGGCUAAACUAAACCUACCACAAUCAACCUGUACAGAUAUAUGGGCGAUAACUGAAAGAUAACAAUAUUUAAACAGAUAAUGGGGAGUGACAAACAAAGAAAUGGAAAAAUGUAUAACUAACGUCAAUAAAAAGAAGACCAGUAAAUCAAACGUUGCACGACACCACCCAUCGUGAUUUUACUCUCGUCAUCACCAAGAUAAUAAAUAAAAGUGUACGACAUCACACAUCGUACUUUAUCGCUCUUCCUCACCAAUCAAUAGCAUAAAGUAGUUACACGGCAUCACCCAUCGUGCUUUAUCACCCUUUCUCACCCAAUCAAUAGCAUGAAGCAAUUACACGGCAUCACUCAUCGUGCUUUAUCACUCAACCUCACCCAAACAAUGAUCACAGAUAAUUGGGCAAAUGUAUAAACGAAGCCGUAAUAAUAAUCCCGGCAAGGGAGAAAUACAAGCAAUACAUAAAUCCCGGCAAGGUAAAAUAAUUCAACAAUACGUCCCGGCAAGGGAAAGGUACCAAAAACUUCCUCUUUUAGUUCAUUUGCUUCUCAACUACCACUUCAUAGUUCAUUUAACAAGUAAUUAGCAAAAUUGUUUACUUCUUUCGAAAUUUAAUAACAAUUAUGACUCACGGUCAUGCUAGACUGGGGCGCAUAGGUAAGCGUCACCAUACCUAUACACCGACUCCACAUAGCACAUAGCAAAUAUUAUCCUAAUCAUAUUCUCUCAAGCCAAAGUUAGAUCAAACACUUACCUCAAAUUCGAAAAUGGCAACUCAAAGCUUAAAAAUCGCCUUUCCUCUAGAAUUCGACCCCGACCCAACGAUAAGCCAAAGUUAGAUCAAACACUUACCUCGAUCCGAAAAUAGCAACUCAAAGCUCAACAAUCGCCUUUCUUCUAGAAUUUGACCCCGAACCACCGAUAUCUAACAUAAAUGGAUUCAAUGUUAUCAAUAAUAGCACAAGGAUACAAUUUCAUAGCUUAGAAAUUCAUUUCUAAUUUUUCUUCCAAAAAUACCAAAAUCCAACACCGGGCCCGCAUGGUCCAAACUCGAGGCUCAGACCAGAUUCUUAUUAGCCAUAAACCCACGAGUCCAAAUAUAUAAUUUGUUUUAAGAUUCGACCCUAAAUUGGGGUUGAAUCGCCCAAUUUUCUAAGAACCCUAGAUAUGCCCAAACAUCCCUAAAUUCUACUAUGAUUCUAUAAUUUGGGGCUAGAAAAUAGAUGGUUGGAUGAAGAAAUAAUGGGACAAAGAAGUUGGAAUCACUUACCUAAAGAGUUAUGGUGAAGUAGGGGCUUGGAGUUCGUAAAUGGAGAAUGUAGGAGGAGAGCCUGUGAGAGAAAUUUUGAAGAAAUGCGGAACACACUGUUCUGGACUAAUUUAAAUCUUUGAAGGAAUUUUCCUUACGCGAUCACGACACUUGGGAUGCUUUCGCGAGGUAAGAGGUCUGGAGGCAUCGCGAUCGCGAUUGGGAUCACGCGAUCGAGAAGAAGAAAGUCAGGGGGGUCCAAGUGCCUUACGCGAACCCGAGGUGGGGAGUGCGAACGCGUUGAGGGAGCUGGUAACACAGUGCGAACGGGGGGGUUCUUCCGUGAUCGUGUAGAAGACUAGAGGCAGGGCUACGCGAACGUGACUGGAUGCACGCGAUCGCGAAGGGAAAAUGGGUCUGCAACAGCUGUUGAAAAAUCUGGUAUUUUCCAAGUUUCAAAACACCCCGAAACACCCUCGAAAUCACCCCCGAGCCCUCGGGGCUCCCAAUCAAACACACACACUAACUCAAUAUCAUCCUACGAACUUGCUCGAGUGAUCAAAUCACCAAAAUAACAUCAAAAUCAAAGAAUCAUCCCCCAAAACUCCUUCUGCAACAGCUGUUGAAAAAUCUGGUAUUUUUCUAAGUUUCAAAACACCCCGAAAUCACCCGCGAGUUCUCGGGGCUCCUAACCAAAUAUACACACUAACUCAAUAUCAUCGUACGAACUUGCUCGAGCGAUCAAAUCGCCAAAAUAACAUCAAAAUCAAAGAAUCAACCCCCAAAACUCAUGAUUUUCAUUUCUAAGUUCAAAACUUUCAGCUUUCCACUUUUAGUCCAAAACACAUCAAACGACGUCCGUUUUCAACCAAUCUUUACAGAUAGCACUUAUGCCAAUUUAAGAUUUGUACCGGCCCUCGGAACCGAAAUACGAGCCCGAUACCAUUAUUUUUGAUCAAUUUCUGUUUUCAAUUUUUCCUUAAGCAUAUUCAUAAAACAAUUUUACAGAAAAGCUCCGUACUUGGGCCUGGGACCUCAGAUUUUGAUUCCGGGAAUACGCCAGAGUCCCAAAUUUCCUUGCGGACCAUUCGGGUCCGUCACAUUACGGGUCCGGGUUUGUUUGCCUAAAACGUUGACCAAAGUCAACUAUAGAAAUAUUAGUAUCAAAAUUCAUAGUUUUUAACACAUAAUUCAAAUAUUUUAACAUAAUAAUUUUUCGGCUUCGCACCUGCACUGUGCACGCAAAUUGAGGCAACCUAAUAAGAGGUUUUCAAGGCCUCAGAAGCGCAAGGAAAGGGAGAAUUACGGUGAUGGCCCUUUGGAUUCACAUCAUCCACCUCUAAAACAAUUGUUCGUCCUCGAACGGACAAAAUAAAGAAGUACAUGAGUCGGGGAAUAGACGGGGAUAACGGCCUCGCAUAUCAGAGUUGGACUCUCAGGUCGAUCCCUCAGGAGGCUGACCUCUCCACUGAACACGCAUUGAAGGAAAACUUUGCGACCUCCACUGUCGAACCUGCCGGUCUAAAAUAGCCACCGACUCCUCCUCAUAUGACAGAUCCUUCUCCAAUUGGACAGUACCGAAAUCUAACAGGUGGCUGGGAUCAUCGUGAUACUUCCAAAGCAUGGAUACAUGGAAAACUGGAUGCACAGCUGACAAGCUAGGCGGCAAUGCGAGUCUAUAAGCUACAUUUCUCACACGGUCCAAAAUCUAAAACGGGCCAAUAUACCUAGGGCUAAGCUUUCCCUUCUUCCCGAACCUCAUCACGCCCUUCAUAGGCCACAUUCCCCACACGGUCAAGAAUCUCAAAUGGGCCAAUAUACCUAGGGCUAAGUUUUUCCUUCUUCCCGAACCUCGUCACGCCCUUCAUAGGCGAUGCAUAGAGCAAUAUCUCUCACCAACCAUGAGAGAAACAUCCCUAACCUUAUGAUCUGCAAAACUCUUUUGCCUACACUGAGCUGACCGAAGUCUGUCCUGAAUGAUCUUAACCUUAUCCAAGGCCUCCUGCACCAAAUUUGUACCCAAUAACCAAGCCUCUCCUGGGUCAAACCAUCCUAUUAGGGACCGACACCGCCUACCAUACAACGCCUCAUAAGGAGCCAUCUGAAUACUGGACUGGUAGCUAUUGUUGUAGGCAAACUCCGCUACAGCAAGAACUGGUCCCACGAGCCUCCAAAAUCAAUAACGCAGGCUCGGAGCAUAUCCUCAAGAAUAUGAAUGUUCCUCUCGGACUGACCGUCCCUCUGCCAUCUGAAUACUGGAUUGGUAGCUAUUGUUGUAGGCAAACUCCGCUACAGCAAGAACUGGUCCCACGAGCCUCCAAAAUCAAUAACGCAGGCUCGGAGCAUAUCCUCAAGAAUAUGAAUGGCCCUCUUGGAUUGACCGUCCAUCUGGGGGUGAAACGCUUUACUCAACUGGAUCUGGGUGCCCAACUCAUGAUGUAACGCUCUCCAGAAAUGCGAGGUAAACUGCGGACCCUGGUCGAAAAUAAUAGAUAUGGGCACCCCAUGAAGGCGAACGAUCUCUCUGAUGAAUAGGUGGUGGCAACUGGUACGAAAUGCGCUGACUUUGUCAGCCUAUCAACAAUAACCCAUAUAGCAUCAAACUUCUUCCGUGUCAUCGGAAGGCCAGUAACAAAAUCCAUGGUGAUUCUCUCCCACUUCCACUCCGGAUGCUCAAUCCUCUGAAAUAACCCACCGGGUCUCUGAUGCUCGCACUUAACCUGCUGACAAUUCAGACCACGAGCCACAUAUGCAACAUUUUCUUUAUUCAUUUUGCACCACCAAUAAUGCCGUCUCAAAUCUUAGUACAUCUUCGCGGCGCCCGGGUGAAUAGACUACCGAGAAUUGUGGGCCUCGGCUAAGAUCGACUCUCGAAUAUCAUCAACAUUGGGCACACAAACUCGCCCCUGCAACCUCAACAAGCCAUCAUCUCCCAAAGUCAUCUCCCUAUCACCUCCCCGCUGCACCGUAUCUCUCAGGACACACAAAUGGGGAUCAUCAAACUGCCGCUCCCGGAUAUACUCCAUCAAUAACGAGCGACCAACCGUGCAAGCUAACACCCUACUGGGCUCACAAAUAUCCAAUCUCACAAAUCUAUUGGCCAAAGCCUGAUCAUCCAAGGCGAACGGUCUCUGGCUGACCAGAAUAUAGGCAAGACUACCCCUGCUGGCGGACCUUCUCCUCAAUGCAUCGACCACCACAUUGGCCUUCCCCGGGUGGUAUGAGGUGGAGCAUCAUAGUCUUUCAACAGCUACAACCAACUCCACUAUCUCAAUUUCAACUGUUUCUGCUUGAACAAGUACUGAAGGCUCUUGUGAUCCGUGUGCACCUUACACGUCACGCCAUACAAAUAAUUUCUCCAGAUCCCGCAUGAACAAUGGCUGCCAACUCUAAGUCAUGAAAUGGAUAAUUCUUCUCGUGGAUCUUCAACUGCCUUGAAACAUAUACCAUGACCCUGUCACUCUGCAUCAACAUUGCACCACGCUGAACCCAAGAAGCAACACAAUAAACCGUAGGAGAUCCUGAUCCCCUGGACAAAAUCAAUCCGAUGCGAAAAAACUAUCUUAAGGACACCGAAUGCUCUAAUACUGAACUGGUGGUAAUAAAAUCCCAAAUCUAUCCUUGAGAAAACACCCUGGUGCUCCAAAGCUGAUUGAACUUAUCCUCAUCGAACCGUCCUUCCUUUUCGCAAUAACGUUGGGUACGCCCCAAGGCGAAACUCUGGCCUAAUGAAACCCUUAUCAAGAAAAUCCUGAAACUAUUCCUUUAACUCUCUCAACUCUUGCGGGGCCAUGCGAUACGAUGAAACGGAAAUAGGCUGAGUGCUCGGCGCCAGAUCAGCGCAAAGAUUGAUAACCAUGUCAGGCAGUACGCCCGGCGUUCUGAUGGAAAAACAUCGAGGAAGCUCCCGAACAAUAGGAACAAAACCAACGGAAGAAACCUCCGCACUGGAGUCGCAAUCAUACGCCAAUCGAGCUAAACACCCCUCUCUUAACCAUGCGCCGAGCCUUUGCAUACGAUAUCACAUUGCGGGUCGGAAAUUCUAAAGUCCCUCUCACUCUAAAUGGAGCAAAUCGGGUAAAGCCACGAUCACGAUUUUUGGUGCGAUAAUCCCAACAUAGGAUGGCACGAGGACAACUAAUCCAUCCCCCAUAUAAUGUCAAAGUCCACCAUAUCAAAAGCAAUAAGUCGACAUGGGUCUCCAAACCCUCAAAUACUACCACUCAUGAAUGAUGCACUCGGUCGACCAUUAUAGAAUAAGUCACUGGUGGAAAUACAUAUAAAGAAAACCCAAGGCUUCAUUAGGCAUAACCAAAUGGAGUGCAAAAUAGGGCGAAAUGUAUGAAUGUGAAGAUUCAGGGUUAAACAACACUGAAGCAUCUCUAAAACAAAUCAGAACGAUACCUGGAAUGUCAGCAUCUGAAGUCUCAACCUCCAAACUGGCCACUGGCUGAUCCCUACUGCUGGCGACCUGAACUCCACCUCUAAGACCUCUACCUCCACCUUUAGCCGGCUAGGUAGGCUGUGGAACCUCCGGUGCCCGGAGCCAAGCACGAUAACUCUGAUACUGAAAGUUGCUCAGAGCUCUAGAGCAAGAUCUGACCAUGUUCCUCGGAUCACCACAAGCAUGGCAGGACCUCGGCUGCUGCGGAUGAGCACCCCUCAGCCUUGAGCGGGCCCCCCUGAGGUGUCCAUACUCGCCACACUCGUAACAUCUACACGCACGCUGCAAUUGAGGAAGUUGGGGCUGGCCUGGUCGGCCACCUGAAGUACCAUGAGAGACAGGGGAAGCUGGCUGAAAGGGCCUGGAAGGAUGACCUCUACCAUAAGAACCUCUACCUCCAGAAGAGGUACCACUUAAUCUACUCGCAUGACGGGGCCUCUUAGCCGAUCGUUGACCGCCUCCUUGUGGCAGUACCACCUCAACUCCACGUGGCCUGCAUGAUGAGACCUCUUAUCCGAUCGAUCAUCGCCUCCCUGUGGCAGUACCAACUUAACACCACGGCCCUCAUUGGUUGUAUCCCUAAAAGGGACCUCACUCCUAGUCUGAGCCGCUGCACAUGGCUGACCUACUGUCACUGGCUGGGCGGCCUGCGGAUUAUCUGCUUCUUGAAUCAUGGGACAAAGACCCUGCUGCUGUGAACUGCCGGAAGCUCGAGGGAAAUACUUGGAAAUGUGCAUCAGGUCGCCGCAAGUGAAGCAAGCCCUCGGCUGCUGACAAUAUCUAAGUGCCUGCUGGGUGAAAGAUUGCGACUGAAAACUGCGACAGUUGAAAGUAGUUGUGAAAAGCUUGUAGAACCGAUCAAGUCUCCACAAAACAUCCGAAGAAAUGGCCGUCCCAUCUCCGGCCUGGGCUGUAAUGCCUGUCUGAGCUGCCAGUGCAGGCUGAACCAAUGAAACCUGAGCUGGGGAUCUGCCUGCUCUGGAGUACGUGUAGUAGGAGUCUGAACCCCUCCUUCAGCCUGAGAAGUAGCUGGUGCUACUUGCAGCAAUCCCGCUCUAUAAACACUGUCCAUAAAGCCUGUUAUGCGGACAAGAGCAUCCUAAAGAUCCGAAGAAAACAUCACUCCUCCUAGGACCUGAGCUGGGCCCACUAGUGCUGGUGGAGCUGGAACCUCCUCAUCAAAGUCAAUAUGAGGCUCCACCUCUGGAUUUGCUGCUUGGGGCGUAGCUCUGCCCCUGCCACGGCCUCGGCCCCUGCCCCUCGCGGGAGCGGCUGCUGGGGGCGAACCUCCUCAUCAAAGUCAAUAUGAGGCUCCACCUCUAGAACUGUUGCCUAGGGCUGAGCUCUGCCCCUUCCACGGCCUCGGCCCCUGCCUCUCGCGGGAGCUGCUGCUAGGGACUCGGGCUGAUGCGCAGUAGAAGAAGAUGCACGUGUUCUCGCCAUCUGCGAAAGAACAGAGUAGAAUAACAAUCAAUAUUUGGGAAACAGAAUCACACGACAAGAAUGAACGGAGUGAAAUUUUUCCGAACUAUGUAGGCUCUGGGAUAAAUAAGACAUCUUCGUACCGAAACCCUCAGACUCUACCGAGCUUGUCCGUGGGUUGUGAGACCCAAGUAACCUAGUGCUCUAAUACCAACUUGUCACUACCCAAAUUUUUCCACCAUCGGAAGUCGUGAUGGCGCCUACUGUCGAAGCUAGGCAAGACAACCUCUAUAAUCAUUUUACAAAAUUUAAAUGUAGAACAAGAUAAUUACUAAAAUAAUUAAUUAAAACAUGCGGAAGUCUUUUAACAACAAUAGCGAAAACUAAAUGCGGAAAAAAACAACAUGUCUCUACCCAGUAUCUGGUGUCACUGCAUACGGACGACUAAGAGUACUAAAGAAAUAGUUUGAAAGAAAUACACCAUAUGUCUAUUUUGAUACAAUAAAAACAAACUAGAAAAGAUAGAAGAGACUCGGGGCCCGCGAAUGUCAGCGAACUACCUCAGAAUCUCUGGACUGAAGGAUCGCCCACUAUCUAUGCCCAAAAUCCCUAAAUUCUACUAUGAUUAUAUGAUUUGGGGCUGGAAAAUUAAUGGUUGGAUGAAGGAAUAAUGGUAGAACGAAGUUGGAAUCACUUACCCGAAGAGUUAUGGUGAAGUAGGAGCUUGGAGUUUGUCAAUAGAGAGUGUAGGAGGAGAGCCCGUGAGAGAAAUUUUGAAGAAAUGGGGAAAACACUGUUCUGGACUAAAUUAAAUCGCUGAAGGAAUUUUCCUUACGCGAUCGCGACACUUGGGACGUGUUCGCGAUGUAAUAGGUCUAGAGGCAUCGUGAUCGCAAUUGGGAUCACGCAAUCGUGAAGAAGAAAGUCAGAGGGGGGUCUAAGUGUCUUACGCGAAUGCGAGGUAGGGAGUGCGAACGCGUUGAUGAAGCUGGUAACACAGUGCGAAUGUAGGGGCUCUUCCACGAUGGCGUAGAUGACUGGAGGCUGGGCUACGUGAACGCAACUGGAUGCACGCGAUCAUGAAGGGAAAAUGGGUAUGCAACAGCUGUUCAAAAAUCUGGUAUUUUUCGAAGUUUCAAAACACCCCGAAAUCACCCCCAGCCCUACCAAACACACACACUAACUCAAUAUCAUCCUACGAACUUGUUCGAGCGAUUAAAUUGUCAAAAUAACAUCAAAAUCAAAGAAUCUACCCCCAAAACUCAUGAUUUUCAUUUCUAAGUUCAAAACUUUCAAAUUUUUCCACUUUUAGUCUGAAACACGUCAAACGACGUCCGUUUUCAACCAAACUUUACAAAUAGCGUUUGACGCCCAUUUAAGAUUUGUAUCGCGCGUCGGAACCAAAUACGAGCCUGAUACCAUUAUUUUUUAUCAAUUUCCAUUUUUUUCCUUAAGCAUAUUCAUAAAAUAAUUUCACAAAAAAGCUCCGUACUUGGGCCUGGGACCUCGGAUUUCGAUUCCGGGAAUACGCCAGGGUCCCAAAUUUCCUUACGGACCCUCCGGACCGUCACAUCACGGGUCCAGAUCCGUUUGUCCAAUACAUUAACCAAAGUCAACUAUAGCAAUAUUAAUAUCAAGAUUCAUAGUUUUUAACAAAGAAUUCAGAUAUUUUCACAUAACAAUUUUCGGGCAUCGCGGUUGGACUGCAUAUGGAAAUCGAGGAAACCCAAUAAGAGGUUUUCAAGGCCUCAAAAUUGGAAGGAAAGGGAGAAUUACGGUGAUGACCCUUUGGGUCGUCACAAUUUAACAGUCUGCGAACCAGAAAUUCGAGCAAGGAAUUCUGUUAACCCGGAAAAAGGUGUUAGGCAUUCUCGGGUUCCGCAGUCUUAGCACGGUUACUCAACUGUUAUAUUAGGCUUAAUUAUCUGAUUUUAGAACAUUUUGAACCUAUAUGCAAAUUAUAACUUUUAUGCGCUUUUAUUCAAUUUUAAAAAAGAUUGAACGCCGUUUAAAAUGUGUCUUUGGAUCGCGACAUAUGACAUACACCCGCAAUCCUAAACAUAUUUUAUGCAACGUUUUAAGAUUUGGAUUUGGGUCACAUAAAAUGCACAACCGAGUUUAGGAAUGUAGUAUUUCUAAAAUACGCUCCUAAAGCAACAAUGCUUUUUUAGCUUUGCGAGGGCCAUGAAAAUUUGCUAAAUGGUAUGCCUCGAGUUCUAAGAAUUUUAUAAGAUAUAAUUAAACGAGGGACAUGCAUUUGAGAUUAUAUUUGGUGUGGCGUGCCUCAAUUCUAUUUUUAAAGGAUAUUCAAACAAAAAAGAUCGGAGGGCCAUAAACUAUGUCUUAUCUAGUAUAGCUCACCUCCCAAUUCCUUUUUAGGGCCCUAAUUAAUUAAACACUAGGGUAUUUAAACUCUGUUUUGAGUGUGCGGUACAAACAAGAUCCCUUCCAGUUGCGGGGCUUUUGUUAAAACUAUCCCAUUAGUAGGAGGGCCUGAAUUAAAACAGGCUCAGAUCUCUAAACCACGAGGCUGCCCAAAUGUGAUAGGGCUUCCUUUUAUCUUAAAGAAUUCCAGUACUCAAGCCCAAAGGGACAAAAUAUUUAGCAAAUGCUAGGUGCAAGCAGGAGAUUUAAGAUCGAAUCCCUGAAGCCAAACAAAACGCUGAUUUGCUCAUGAAUCACUCCAACCAUUAACGAAAUAUCACUAAUUUUAAAGCAUAAGUAGGCGCCUUAUUUUAACAUUGAACAAAACUCUUCACAUGUAGAUGUCAUGUCACUUUAAUAUUCCAAACUAUAGUAAAGAAAAAUAUUAACAACUUUUGGAAUCAACACUUGACAACCAAAACCAAACCAUCAACAACUAGCUUUCUUGAAAACAGUAAUUGGUAUUGAAAUAGUGAACACCCAAGCUACAUGUUAUGCUUAACAUAUUCAUUUGAUAUUCACAUAUUUUAACUGAAACCUACAGAAACCUCUAACUAUAAAAUCAUACUUCCCCUUUUAACAUGGUUUCUAUACUAAUAACACUGAUGACUUAAAUCGAAACAUGCUCCCUUCAACAAUAUGAACAAAAUAGACUCCAAUCUUAUGGACACAUACAAGUUCAAACAAUGCCAAGCAUUUAAAAGACCUCUCAUGCACAUAUAACACCCCACAAUGAACAACAAAGCUAAUUAAAUAUUACAACAAUCCAUACUCAGAACAAACAGAAGAAAAAAACGUAAGGAAAUUAAACUAAGCUACACAAAUUCGGAAGUGCAGAAAACAUGGACCAAACGACUGUAUUAGUAAAAUCUCCAUUAAAGUGAACCAAUCUUCAUAUUCAUCCAUUUUCAUAAAUUGGAAGAUGAAAAGAGUACCUGAAAUUGAAGGAAUAAGUAAGUAAAGAAAGAUCAGCAGCUCAAUUCGAUCAGAGAUUGGCAGCAACAAUAAAACAACCCAAAUCUAGUAAUGAAACCACAGAAUUAGUUCCAAAUCCAAUGGAACAGCAAAUUCACAGUUCAAAACCCUGAGAAAUGUAAUUCCACCAGUUGACACCAGUUUCAAACACCCAUCCAACUCGAUAAACUCCAAGAUCUGACCUCACUAACUAAACCUCAAACCAUUUCAAAUCCCGGACAAAGAAAGAAACACAAAUUGAUUCAGAGAUUGGAACUUUUCAAAGUGUAGAGCUAAAUUUCAAGGCAAGAAAGAAUGUCUUUAUAGGCAAGCAAAUUGGGCAGCCCUGCUGAUUUUAGUUUACCCCUUAAGUCUCUUUUAAUUUAUGCCUUUUGCUUAAAAGUCCCUAAUAUAUUGGCUUGUUUCCAAGCUAACACUAUUAAAAAUCUUGAAUUUAAAUUAAGCCCCCCUAGAAGCUUCCAGGGGCCUCCUAUUGCUGUUACAGCACGAUUCUCUAAGCCUAUUCCCAAAUUUACCCUUGAGACCCCCGAAAAUUACCUAAGUUUACUAAAUAGGAAUAUGGGCCAAAUGACCCAAUUUAAUGGGUCUGAAAAGACCCAAAUGAAUUCAUUACUGGGCCUAACGAUCACACCUCAGCCAAAAUAAUGUUCAG
rnacentral:lncRNA from 1 species